CUGACCUGCGGGGCGAGAGAAGAAACACAGGGGGAGAAGAGGACUGGGCCUCGAAUCCAUCUUAGGAACUAAAAAGGGAACUGACAUCAAUAGGGUUUUUUUUUUUUUCUUCUCUCCUCGCCAGUCUUUCUGCAGCAGACGCUGGGACCAAGUAUCUGACCUGACAUGCAUGCUUCUUGCUUCAACUUUAAUUUUAAAGGAAACAAAACAAAACACCGAUUUUCAUUUCGAUUUAAAAACAAAAAUCAGAAUUGUACGCCAUUGGGGAAAUGCUUGGGAAUAGAAUGUCGUUGCUUCGUGGACCAUUGCUUCCUUCUCUCCUGCUUGUGUGCCAGUCCUGGCCUCUCCUACCAAUAUCUGCUCACCUCCUCCCAACUCUGGAGUAGGGCACUGCCAGGGAGGGGGCACUAUUAGACUCCAAAAUAAAAGCAUCUUGGAGGCCCACGUUCCAGUGUAGAGACCUCUCUGUCUUCCCUCCCUCCCUCCCUCCCUCCCUCCCUCCCUCCCUCCCUCCCUCCCUCCAGAUCCUUCCACCUAAGCAAAGUCUAGCCUGGAAGGAACUUGCAGAUCUUGGAUUCAAGCCAGACUGAAAAGCAAGUUCAUCUGGGACCCUUCCCUCCAGGAAGAUCAUAACAGCCUAAGGUACCAUCACCUCCAGUCUUGGCUCAGGCAAGCCUGGGAUCUAGCAGCCAGCGGCCCCUGUGGAGCCUCCAAAUGGACCAGGAUUGUUUAGAUUUCCCAGGCAAGA